CCGCGCUAGUUGGGGAGUCAGCGGUGCCCUGUAGCCUGCAACCCGCUACAGCAGGGAUGAAUUCCUGCCCGAGGGGUCGUUGUGUGUCGUCAGCCCGGGGCAAGAGGCGUUGACGGACCGGUCUCGCGCAAUAUUGAUUCGUGAACCAUGUCAGGCGGGGAACCGAGCAGCAUUAAGCGAAACCCAGUGUGUGCCGCGAGGCUACCGGUCCCGAGCAGGCUGCCCCGGUAACGGGCAUACCGCGUUCUCAGAGGCGGGUGCGCGG
rnacentral:SRP_RNA from 1 species